UACGAAGGGUGCAAGCGUUAAUCGGAAUUACUGGGCGUAAAGCGUGCGUAGGCGGUGAGUUAAGUCUGUCGUGAAAUCCCCGGGCUCAACCUGGGAAUGGCGAUGGAUACUGGCUCGCUAGAGUGUGAUAGAGGAUGGUGGAAUUCCCGGUGUAGCGGUGAAAUGCGUAGAGAUCGGUGGAACACCAGGGCGAAGGCGGCAUCCUGGCCCAGAACUGACGCUGAGGCGCGAGAGCGUGGGAGCGAACCGG
rnacentral:rRNA from 1 species